UACGAAGGGACUAGCGUUGUUCGGAAUCACUGGGCGUAAAGCGCACGUAGGCGGAUGUGUCAGUCAGGGGUGAAAUCCCGGGGCUCAACCUCGGAACUGCCUUUGAUACAGCACGUCUCGAGUCCGGAAGAGGUGGGUGGAAUUCCUAGUGUAGAGGUGAAAUUCGUAGAUAUUAGGAAGAACACCGGGUGGCGAAGGCGGCC
rnacentral:rRNA from 1 species